GCCGGAGUGGCGGAAUUGGCAGACGCGCCAGCUUGAGGGGCUGGUCCGCUUACAAGCGGGUGCAGGUUCAAGUCCUGUCUCCGGCA
rnacentral:tRNA from 1 species